rnacentral:rRNA from 1 species
UACGUAGGGUGCGAGCGUUGUCCGGAAUUACUGGGCGUAAAGGGCUCGUAGGCGGCCAACUAAGUCGGACGUGAAAUCCCUCGGCUUAACCGGGGAACUGCGUCCGAUACUGGAUGGCUUGAGAUUGGGAGAGGGAUGCGGAAUUCCAGGUGUAGCGGUGAAAUGCGUAGAUAUCUGGAGGAACACCGGUGGCGAAGGCGGCAUCCUGGACCAACACUGACGCUGAUGAGCGAAAGCCAGGGGAGCAAACGGG